rnacentral:lncRNA from 1 species
GGGGCAGCAACCUAACAACAGGUUGUCCGAUACAUCUGAAAAUUCCAGGGCAGAUAGAUCUUCACCUGAUGAACAUUUUAAAAGCAUCAGAUUUGCUCUAAAUGCUUUGGUUUUUGAGUUAUAAGCCAAAAUCUACAUUUUACCCCUAUGUUCUAUUUUUAGCCAUGGCGGCCAUCUUGAAUGGUUGGCUUGGUCACAGCAAACAUUUUUUGAACAAGAUACCCUAAUGAUGAUUGUAGCUAAGUUUGGUUAAAUUUGACCCAAUAGUUUCAGAGUAGAAGAUUUUUGUAAAAGAUUACAAAAAUUUACGAAAAAUUUGUAAAAAAUGACUAUAAAGGGCAAUUACUCCUCAAGGGGUCAAUUGACCAUUUUGGUCAUGUUGACUUAUUUGUAGAUCUUACUUUGCUGAACAUUAUUGCUGUUUACAGUUUAUCUCUAUCUAUAAUAAUAUUCAAGAUAAUAACCAAAAACAGCAAAAUUUCCUUAAAAUUACCAAUUCAGGGGCAGCAACCUAACAACGGGUUGUCCAAUUCAUCUCAAAAUUUCAGGGCAGAUAGAUCUUGACCUGAUUAACAAUUUUACCACACGUCAGAUUUGCUCUUAAUGCUUUGGUUUUUGAGUUAUAAGCCAAAAACUGCAUUUUACCCCUAUGUUCUAUUUUUAGCCAUGGCGGCCAUCUUGGUUGGUUGGUCGGGUCACGCCACACAUUUUUUAAACUAGAUAUCCCAAAGAUGAUUGUGGCCAAGUUUGGAUUAAUUUGGCCCAGUAGUUUCAGAGGAGAAGAUUUUUGUAAAAGAUUACUAAGAUUUACGAAAAAUGGUUAAAAAUUGACUAUAAAGGUCAAUAACUCCUAAAGGGGUCAACUGACCAUUUUGGUCAUGUUGACUUAUUUGAAAAUAUU